rnacentral:rRNA from 1 species
UGGGGAAUAUUUGACAAUGGGCGCAAGCCUGAUCCAGCCAUGCCGCGUGAGUGAUGAAGGCCCUAGGGUUGUAAAGCUCUUUCACCGGUGAAGAUAAUGACGGUAACCGGAGAAGAAGCCCCGGCUAACUUCGUGCCAGCAGCCGCGGUAAUACGAAGGGGGCUAGCGUUGUUCGGAUUUACUGGGCGUAAAGCGCACGUAGGCGGACUUUUAAGUCAGGGGUGAAAUCCCGGGGCUCAACCCCGGAACUGCCUUUGAUACUGGAAGUCUUGAGUUUGGUAGAGGUGGGGGGAAUUCCGAGUGUAGAGGUGAAAUUCGGAGAUAUUCGGAGGAAAACCAGUGGAGAAGGCGGCUAACUGGACUAUUACUGAAGCUGAGGUGGGAAAGCGUGGGGAGCAAACAGG